rnacentral:rRNA from 1 species
UACGAAGGGGGCUAGCGUUGUUCGGAUUUACUGGGCGUAAAGCGCACGUAGGCGGAUCGUUAAGUCGGGGGUGAAAUCCUGGAGCUCAACUCCAGAACUGCGUCCGAUACUGGUUGGCUUGAAUCCGGGAGAGGGACGUGGAAUUCCAGGUGUAGCGGUGAAAUGCGUAGAUAUCUGGAGGAACACCGGUGGCGAAGGCGACGUCCUGGACCGGCAUUGACGCUGAGGCGCGAAAGCCAGGGGAGCAAAGCGGG